GACGAACGCUGGCGGCGUGCUUAACACAUGCAAGUCGAACGGAAAGGCCCUGCUUUUGUGGGGUGCUCGAGUGGCGAACGGGUGAGUAACACGUGAGUAACCUGCCCUUGACUUUGGGAUAACUUCAGGAAACUGGGGCUAAUACCGGAUAGGAGCUCCUGCUGCAUGGUGGGGGUUGGAAAGUUUCGGCGGUUGGGGAUGGACUCGCGGCUUAUCAGCUUGUUGGUGGGGUAGUGGCUUACCAAGGCUUUGACGGGUAGCCGGCCUGAGAGGGUGACCGGCCACAAUGGGACUGAGAGACGCACCAGACUCCUACGGGAGGCAGCAGUGGGGAAUAUUGCACAAUGGGCGGAAGCCUGAUGCAGCAACGCCGCGUGCGGGAUGACGGCCUUCGGGUUGUAAACCGCUUUCGCCUGUGACGAAGCGUGAGUGACGGUAAUGGGUAAAGAAGCACCGGCUAACUACGUG
rnacentral:rRNA from 1 species